GCCGUACAACUUCUCUGCUACCUA
rnacentral:siRNA from 1 species